AGUGAACGCUGGCGGUAGGCCUAACACAUGCAAGUCGAACGGCAGCACAGUAAGAGCUUGCUCUUACGGGUGGCGAGUGGCGGACGGGUGAGGAAUACAUCGGAAUCUACUUUUUCGUGGGGGAUGACGUAGGGAAACUUACGCUAAUACCGCAUACGACCUACGGGUGAAAGCAGGGGAUCUUCGGACCUUGCGCGAUUGAAUGAGCCGAUGUCGGAUUAGCUAGUUGGCGGGGUAAAGGCCCACCAAGGCGACGAUCCGUAGCUGGUCUGAGAGGAUGAUCAGCCACACUGGAACUGAGACACGGUCCAGACUCCUACGUGAGGCAGCAGUGGGGAAUAUUGGACAAUGGGCGCAAGCCUGAUCCAGCCAUACCGCGUGGGUGAAGAAGGCCUUCGGGUUGUAAAGCCCUUUUGUUGGGAAAGAAAAGCAGCAGGUUAAUACCCCGCUGUUCUGACGGUACCCAAAGAAUAAGCACCGGCUAACUUCGUG
rnacentral:rRNA from 1 species